AAAAUGGAAAUACGGUAGCAUGAAGGAAGGAAAGAGUGAAGAUAAUGAAGUACUGAAAUCUCUCACUAGAAAUCCCCUUAAAAAGGAGUUGCUCCAGUCCUCAUCAGCUACCGGGACGUGUCAAGCCAUAGAAAGUGAAGUUUCACAAACCAUCCUUCCCCAUAGACGAUAGGCUCCACCCCUACGUGGGGCUUGAACUCACAACCCUGAGAUCAAGUCACAACCCUGAGAUCAAGAGUCAGAUGCUCUACCAACUGAGCCUCCCAGGUGUCCCUAAAAUUUUAGAGCACAUUAUUCAUUACUGUAUUAAUAUUACUAUAAUGGUAAUAAAAUGGGAAGCUGUUAAACACAUAUCCAUCUUUCCAACAGUGUUAUCCUAAGUCCAGGAGGAAGCUUUCAAAACAGGAGACUGGCCAAUUGCAAACCUUUCUCUGGACUUACUCUCCUCACCCCAGACCCAGCUACUAAGGAAGCCAGUUUUGGAACAUGGAAAGAUGGAUUGGAUGCAGUUAGGAGCCCUGAUCUCAUCUUGAUGUCAGGUAUGUGAAAUCCAGCACAGUUCAGAGGGGCCUCAAGCUCUUGGGGCAGAGCCAGUAAGUGUUGCUCCAGACACGCCUUUGCAGGGCCCUCUCUCCUUGCUCAUAUAUAAUAUUUUCUCUUUUUGUAACUUGGCCUCAGUGAAAAAGAAUAUUUUUAGUAAGCUACUCAUUGUUUACUGAAAGCAGCCUUAAAAAGCCCAGGGCAAGGGCUCUGUUAAGUAAACCCAGAAGUGGAAGACAGAUUUGCCUCCUCUUAAUUGGGCACUGGAGCACUUGCCUUUAGAGGAAGUGAGUAAAGCAAACAUCACAGGAAUUAUGAGUGAUGUGCCUGAACACAGAUCUGUGCAGGGGUUUUGCUGGGCACAGAAACUCACUGACUGUACACCAAAUAUUCACCGAGUCUGUUAGAUGACCAGAGGUUCAGAGAAAUUAAAAGUACUAAGAACCCAGAGCCAGGACUAGGGUGGAACAUGUGAGGCACUCACCUUGGGCACAACAUGUAAGUAAAUUUUAGCAAUCAAGAAAUAAUACUAUGGUGCAAUAGUUUAAAUAGACAAGAUCUGACAGGGCCAGAUUAGGGUAAGGUGGGUGAGGUGAGACAUGCAAGCACAGGGUCAGAUCUUGUGUUUAUUUAAAAUGAAAUAUGUUGAUUAGGGACUUUUUUUUUUUUUUUUAAACAUUU